GCCACGCUUCAUUUUCUUCCUCACUUCUCCUUCUAAAGUUGUCUCAAUUCAUAAGAUGAUUUGGUCGUCUGAUUUCUCUACUCAAGCUCGUGUUCAAUCAUUUCAAGUUCACUCCAAAGCUUUAGCCUCUAACAAUAUGGCGGCGCUGCAGCUUCUCCUAAUUCUAUGAAAUUCGCUUGGUUUGGCGGUUCAAAAGAAAGAAUUCAUCACAUUUUAUCUCGUGGUAAUAGCUUCAACGACAUCCGAGAUAACAUUAAUGCCGCCAUUUUUCUCUCUCCUGAUCAUUCACCUGUUUGGAGAAGGCGAUCCAGACGAAGAUGGAGUUCGAUAUUUGCUACUUUGCCGAGUCGUACUCGGACGAUCCGAGUUAGUUCAACCUAACUCAGCUCAAACAUAACCGAGUUCGAACAAGUUUGACUCAGGAGUUGAUAAUUUUGAAAAUCCAAAAAAGUAUAGAAUCUGGAGUUCCAAUAUGAACUCUCACAUUUUGCCAGAAUAUGUUGUUAGGUUGUGGAGGAGGUGUGGUGGUGUCGGAAGAAAAGAGGCGACGAUCGUGGAUGUAGAAUUGAAGGGGAUGUGUGAUCUGGAGACUGGAAUUGAUUUUGUAAUUGUUUCAAGAGAUUGAAUUGAUUGAGCUGAGGAGAGAGAAAAGGAUGAUAAUCUGUUUCUUGCUCACUUCAUUUUCACCCGCCAUUUUUACAACUCCUUGCUUUGUCUCUCUUCUUCUUUCAGGUGUUUGUGAAAGUGGGUAAUGUGUAAUUGUAAUGUAGAAGAUUGGGGUUUUUAUAGGAGAGAGAUUAAAGUGUGAAAAUAUGUAGAAAUGGUUGAAGGUGUAGAUGAGAGAAAAAGAUGUGUUUGAGAGUGUGAGUGUUAAUUAGGUGUAACACUCUAAAUUGUGGCCAUUUCAUUCAUCAA